rnacentral:rRNA from 1 species
CACUCCUGCGGGAGGCAGCAGUGGGGAAUUUUGGACAAUGGGCGAAAGCCUGAUCCAGCAAUGCCGCGUGAGUGAAGAAGGCCUUCGGGUUGUAAAGCUCUUUUGUCAGGGAAGAAACGGUGAAAGCUAAUAUCUUUUGCUAAUGACGGUACCUGAAGAAUAAGCACCGGCUAACUACGUGCCAGCAGCCGCGGUAAUACGUAGGGUGCAAGCGUUAAUCGGAAUUACUGGGCGUAAAGCGUGCGCAGGCGGUUUUGUAAGUCUGAUGUGAAAUCCCCGGGCUCAACCUGGGAAUUGCAUUGGAGACUGCAAGGCUAGAAUCUGGCAGAGGGGGGUAGAAGUCCACGUGUAGCAGUGAAAUGCGUAGAUAUGUGGAGGAACACCGAUGGCGAAGGCAGCCCCCUGGGUCAAGAUUGACGCUCAUGCACGAAAGCGUGGGGAGCAAACAGGAUUAGAAACCCCUGUAGUCCCAUGAU